AGGUAAGUGGAAUCCCACAGCAUGAACCCUUUUGUAUCUGGCUUCUUUUGUUCAGCAUAGUGUUUCUGAGAUUCGUCUAUAUUGAUGCCACUAUCAUUAGUGUAUACCUCUCAUUGUUUCUUCAACAAAAUCAGUCCAAGCAGACAGAAGAAGUUUGCCAUUCACAAGUAUGAGACACCAGGGAACCCAAAAAUCAGAUGUUCCACCUUUGACAACUAAGGGUAAAAAGGCAACAGGAAACAUUGAUCAUAAAGAAAAAUCAACUGAAAUAAAUCAUGAAAUUCCUCACUGUGUCAAUAAACUACCAAAGCAAGAGGAUUCUAAGAGAAAAUAUGAAGAUUUAUCAGGGGAAGAGAAACAUUUGGAAGUCCAAAUACUGCUGGAGAAUACUGGAAGACAAAAAGACAAAAAAGAGGACCAAGAAAAGCAAACCAUUUUUGUGAAAGAAGAGCAAGAACUACCACCAAAAAUAAUUGAAGUUAUUCAUCCUGAAAGAGAAAGCAAUCAAGAAGAUGUUCUAGUAAGAGAAAAGUUUAAAAGAAGCAUGCAGAGAAAUGGCAUGGAUGACACACUUGGCAAAGGCACUGCUCCCUACACAAAAGGCCCCCUCAGACAAAGAAGGCAUUACUCAUUCACAGAAGCAACUGAAAACCUGCAUCAUGGGCUUCCUGCUUCAGGGGGACCACCCAAUGCCGGCAACAUGAGGUACAGUCAUAGUACAGGCAAGCAUCUCAGUAACAGAGAGGAAAUGGAGCUAGAGCAUUCUGACAGUGGGUAUGAGCCCUCAUUUGGUAAGUCUUCCAGAAUAAAAGUGAAGGAUACAACUUUCAGAGAUAAGAAAAGCAGUCUCAUGGAAGAACUCUUUGGAUCAGGCUACGUCAUGAAAACUAACCAAUCAAGUCCUGGUGUUGCAAAGGGCUCAGAGGAGCCUUUGCAAAGUAAGGAGUCGCAUCCCCUGCCUCCCAGUCAGGCC
rnacentral:sRNA from 1 species